CGCGUGCUCCGUCGUCUCCGUCUUCGUCUUCGUCUUCCUCUUCAGCCACGGCUCCACCGACUUGUACUGCUGGUAGAAGCUGGUCAGGUCGACGACGAGGUCCCUCACGACGUACAUGUGGGGCAGCGGCGUCACCGUCGUGGCCGACGAGGUGUCGGUGUCCACGGGCCUGAGGCACGCCACGGUGUUCACCCCGUCGAUGCACAUGGAGCACGACCCGCAGAUGCCCUCCCGGCACGACCGCCGGAACG
rnacentral:lncRNA from 1 species